CUUGAUAUCAUUCUACCUGCCACACACCUGUGGGGACUUCCAGACGUUCAUGAAAAAUGGAAAUGAAAUUCAUCUGGAUGCAAAACGUUUUUGAAGUCCACAAAUCAUUAUUUCCCAGUACCUAGCCCUGGGACAUUGCGUCUACAGCUCAUCUUCCCAGGCUAUUGCUUUGUUCUUCAAGUGACCAGAACUGCAUCAAGAAUGCUUCCUGUGCCUGCGAUGCACCCACACAGCAUCACAGGUAGUUUCUUGGAGCUUAAGUCUGAGCUUGUUCUACCAAAAGGGUUUCCCUCCUGAAUUCUUAAAGUCUGCAGCCAAUUUACUCUGGCAUGUAGGAUGGAAGGAGAUAGUAAGAGAUGGACAAACCGAGACUCUACGUUCUGAUUUGCAAAGACUGAGAGCGGUAAGACCUUCCAGCCCUUUAGGUUUCUAGGAUCGCAGCGGAAAUAGGAGGUGAGGGCCACGGUUUGUCCGCAAGUCUCGGCGGGGAAGCGACAAUGCCAACUCUGUACACCAAGGAGCAGCUCCGUAAGCCCGUGCCUGUCAGCCCGUCAGAGCCGCAUCACCUGAAGAGACCAGCACACCUAGGCCGGCCGCAGGGCCGGAGAUCAGACGGUCUCAACGCAGGACCCGUCGUCUCGCACAGCCUAUAGGAGUCGGCCCCGCGGAUCCCCACACCGCCGAGCGCGAGCGGUCAACAGACGCCAACACUGGGGUUCCCACGGCUCGGGGACCCAAAGCCGCCCGGACAGGAAGGCGCCGGGCCCCGGACUUUCUCCCCGGCAUCCCGGAGGGCGGCGACCUUCCCUCCGCUGUCCGGGGCUGGAAGCUGGGCAGGGCAGCAGCAGAGACACGGAGGAGGGGAUGCCACCCGCGAGCUGGACACCCGGGUCUCCGCCGCGCGCCAGCCCCUCUCCACCUGUCCGGCGGACCCGCUUCCCCCGACCACUCCAGCCGUCACCGGGACUUCUCCAAGUUGGGGGCCGGGCAGGCGAGGCAGCCAAUGGACACCACCCCCUCCUCCUACACACACACACACACACACACACACACACAGAGCCAGGGCGAGGGCGCCAGGAGAGGCGCGAAGCUGUAGAUUUGUGUCUCUAUUUUAGGAUCUUAAUAGGAUGGCAUUGGAGAUUUGGUUUCAACAAGAAAAAUCCCCAGAUGUGUAAAGAAUGACAGAUUUUUCCAGUCAUAUUUAGCAGCAAAAGAAAAACACAUCCAUUGCUGAGCUCUCAAGAAGGAAGAGAAGGGUGUUGGUUGGUGCCUGGAGAGAGCUGGGAGAGCCAUCGACAUCUCAACAGUGGUGACAGCAGGAACAUGAUGGUGAUAUGUAGGCAGUGCAGAGGGACAGGAAGGGAGGAAUCCCAGGACUGAUUUGUGUAAUAGAUACCUGAUCUGCUUGGAAGGUUAAAAAAAAUAAAAAGGCAGACCUUCCAUCAGUCCAACUUGGUGGAAGAUGGAUAAGAUACCUGUUUGAUUACUAAAGAGAACACCCCUGGAUGGGAUUCUUGGGUGCAUUUUGGUGAUAGGAGUUCUAACUCAUAUGGGUCAGAUGUUUACCACAUAGGUUGUUGAGUGUUUCCUGUGCUGUGCCUCUCACUUACUGUAUCUUUUUCCUCAUUGGAAAAAGAAAUUGGAGAAAUAACCUGAAUCAAUCGGUAAACGUCACCCUUGCUUGCCUGGCCGCUUCAUCAGUCACUGAUCCAUAAUGGCUGCACAUUAAUGUGUGUGGCUUUCAUUUUCCAUUUUAUAAUUUUUUAAAAUAUUUAUUUAUUUAUCUGAAAGUCAGCGUUACACACAGAAAGAUGGAGAGACAGAGGUCUUCCAUCUGCUGGUUCACUGCCCAGAUGGCUGCAAUGCCUGGUCUGGAGCCAGGCUGAAGCCAGGAGUUUCUUCUGGGUCUCCCAUGUGGGUACCAAGGGUCCAAGCACUUGGGCCAUCUUCCCCUGCUUUUCCCAGGCCAUUAGCAGAGAGCUGUAUUGGAAAUGGAACAGCAGGGACUCCAUCCAGUAUCUAUAUGGUAUGCCAGUGUCACAGGUGGUGGCUUUACCCGCUACGCCACAACUCUGGUCCCUUCCACUUUAUAAUUUCUACAAAACAUACAAUAGGUAGAAUAAUUGCCUCCCAGGAUAUUCCCACCCUAAUCCUUGGACCCUGUAAAUAUGCUAUCAUAUUUGCAACAGAGCAUUGCAGAUGUGACAAAGGUUAAUGACCUUGAGAUGGGAAGAUUACCCUGGGUUCUGCAGCUGGUUCCAGUCUAACCAUGUGGGUUCUUCAGAGCAGAAGAGGAAAGCAAAAGAGUUGGCCAAAAAGAUUCAAGUGAUGGAAAAAGGGGCAGCAGAGAUAUGACGUGAGAAGGAUUGGACUGCCCUUGCUGGGUUGAAAGCAAAAGAAUGCAGAAAGGUAGGUCUAGAGCUGAGAAUGACCACAGGUCAAGAUCUGGGAAGUAAACAGGGUCCCCAGUGCUGAAACCCCAAGAAUCUAGAAUCUUCCAACAACCAGCCUGAGCCAGGAUACAGAAGCUCCCCUAGAACCUUCAGAGAGGAACACAACCCCACCACCAUUUUGAAUUUGGCCCUCUGUGAAAUUUUGGAAUUUAGAUCUAUUGAGCUACACACUAAAAACAAACAAAAAACAGAGCUGUGUGGGUCUAAGGUCCUGGGUCUGUAGAAAUUGUGGCAGCAAUGACUGAGAAGUAGUAUGCCCACUAAAUCUAGUGUGAGAGCUGAAUCGUGCCUCUUUGGCUUUCAGCCUCUCCUACAGAAUUAAUGUGUAGUUUGUGCUCAGUCAUCAUUGGAUGAGAAAGGAAAGUAAACAGGGAGGGAAAGUGAGAGGGAGAGAUAUCCUUAGGUCUUUAUUUUCCACAAAUAUAUUUGAAAGAGAAGUUCUAUAGCUAGUUAACAAUCAGUAUAGAAUGGAGUAAGUGGGACAGAGGAGUGAGUUGGGAGGUCAGCAUGUUUAAACUCACGUUUGAAAAGCCUUAAGCAUUCCACUUCUGGGUGCAGGCAAACACGCGUGCUCACCUGUCUUCUUGCCUAUCUGCCAUGCGCCCUGUCAAAAAGCCUACACAAAAUACUUACAGAAUUGUUACUCUUGCAUUCCAAAUUCCAGUAGUUUUUCUAGAACAUCACUGAUUGAUUUAGGUAGUUUAUCCUCCACGCUGGUGUUACUAAUACAAAAGUGACUCUUAUCCUAGUCUUACCCAAAUGCAUGUCACAUAGCGGAUGUCAACUGUUCCUUCACAACCACUAUAAUCAUCCUGAUCAAAUACUUGUUAUUUCAUAACACAUUUUAACUUGUGAAAGCCACCAAGAGGUAUAUAAAAUGUACCUAUACAGUUAAAUAAUAAAGUACUCAUAUAAACAUGCCACCUGGAGAAAUAGAUGUUUAUGUUACUCUUUAAUUACACACACCCCCUUUCCUCAAACAGCACCCUAACCUUGAUUACCAUUCUUUUUCUAUUCCUUGUAUGUUUUGUUCAUUUUUAUGUAUUUCCAAGCAAAAUGUCAUUGUUUUACAAGGCUAUCAAAAAUCUCAUAGAACAUGUGUGUUAUGAAAAAAACUAUGCAUGGAUUUCAACAUUAUUUUGCCCCUACAUCAACUUGUCUUUUAAUUACAUUUUCAAUGAACUUUCUGAAAUCCUCUUAAAUGUUUUUAAAAUCCAUGGGAAAGAAAUGGUUGUACUAUCAAAACUAUUCACAAGAAAAUAUAUAUAUGUACACAUGUAUGUAUAAUUAACAAUACAUAAAAUGCUUUUGUCAAUUUUUUUCAGUCAGCAUUGUGUUCUGGUGGUUCUUACAUGUUGACAUAACUGUCAUUCACUUAUUUUCACUGCUUUGGAUGAAUAUGCUGCAAUAUACUUGUUCUGCAUGAUUAUUUGGGUGGUUUCCAAGUUGUUACUGACACAAACAGUUCUGCAGCAAACACUCAUAUACAUGUUUUCUGGUACAUGUGUGAAGAGUUUCUUUAGGGAGUAUCCCAAGGGAAAGAAAUGCUGGGGUAUAUGUGCCUGCACAAAUUUCCCAGGUAAUACCAAUUGGUUUCCAAAGUAGUUACACUAAUCCCAUCUCCAUUACUUUUCUAAGUAAAAAGGCUCUUAGCUGUGUUUCUCUACCUUCAGUUUUUCUCCAACUCAGUCUCUCCUGUCCACAAGCAUCAGUCUGGUUUUCCUAAACUGCUGCAUUCAGCAUGUUUUCCUCACAUCCUAAAUUCUACUUUUACUCAAGAACUUACUAUGCAGCUUAUUGUCUGUCAACAAACUCUUGAUAGCCUUUUCAUGGGUGGUCAAAUCCACUACUUUUCAAAAACGCUUUGUGCUACAUAGACUAGUCUUUGUAGUUUUUUUCCCCCCUUAAUGCGUGUUCUUUUUGCCUUUGAGUUUUUUCUCCUAAAACUCCCUUGCCUACAAUCUCUCCAGUUUCCCUCUGCACCUAAACAUUUCUCACUCUUCAAAGUCCUAUUGAUGUCUUCCUGUUCUAUGGUGCCUUCCCUGGCUAUUUCAUCUGCUUUUUCUGAAAUCUCCUAGCAGUAAGAAGCAGCAGGAAGAUGUCAUUCAGUCAUUCAUUCAAACAUCAUUUGGGACUUCAUACUGCAUGAAUUCAUGAAGUCUGCAAGGAGAAAAGAUGAGAGUCCCAAGAAAGAUAAGCAAUUUGCUUUCAGAAUGAUGUGCCCAUCAGUUAUGCACAUUUAUCCAAGCAUAGGCUGGACAACACUAUGUCCUGGGUACUCAAAGAGGAAAUCAAAGGGUACCUAGUGACUUGGAUCUAUUUGUCACCAUGGUCCACUGCAAUAUGUGAUUGUAUGAGUCUGAGCUGCUGCUGUGGCUUAAAUAUGAUUUGGCCCCCAAACCCAUUUAGGAGUGUAAACUCCAAACUCUUAAGUUAAUGGUACCAAGUUGGCAUUUAAAAAGUGGCGAGAUGGGCUGGCACUGUGGUGCAGUGGGUUAAGGCCCUGGCCUGCAUCGCUCUCAUCCCAUAUGGGCGCUGGUUCAAGUCCCAGCUUCUCCACUUCCAGUCCAGCUCUCUGCUAUGGUCUGGGAAAGCAGUAGAGGAUGGCCCAGGUCCUUGGGCCCCUACACCCAUGUGGGAGAUGCAGAAGAAGCUCCUGGCUCCUGGCUUCGUAUCAGCUCAGCUCUGACUGUUGUGGCCAUUUGGGGAAUGAACCAGUGGAUGGAAGACUCUCUCUUUCUCACUCUCUCUUUCUGGCUCUACCUCUCUCUGUAACUCUGUGUUUCAAAUAAAAAAAAGUGACUACCUUGGACUGAGUCCAUAGGUGAAGCCACCAUGAUGCCCUGUGUACCUCAGGACUCUGACAGCAACAAUGCCAUCACCAGAGGCUGAAUCAGUGGGACACAUCCUAUCUUUGGCUGUGAAUCUCAAGAACUGUGGGCCAAAGUAAAUCUCUUUUCUUUAUAAAAUUAACCUGUGAGGCCGGCACCACUUGAUUAAUCCUCCACCUAUGGCACCGGCAUUCCAUAUGGGUGUCGGGUUCUAGUCCCGGUUGCUCCUCUUCUAGUCCAGCUCUCUGCUGUUGCUCCUCUUCUCGUCCAGCUCUGUGCGUGGGCCCCUGCACCUGCAUGGGAAACCAGGAGGAAGCACCUGGCUCCUGGCUUCGGAUCGCUGUAGCUCCAGCCGUAGCGGCCAUUUGGGAGGUGAACCAACGGAAGGAAGACCUUUCUCUCUGUCUCUCUCUCUAGUCUAACUCUGUCAAAUAACAAUAAUAAAAAAAAAUAACCUAUAUCAGGUGUAUUGUUAUAAUAAUGACUAAGGCACUUGCCAUGAGAGAUGCAGCCAGCAUGUAGAACCCUCUGUCUUGUAAACUCAACUUUCUCUUAGCACUUUGUCUCUCACCAGGAAUUAACAAAACCAUGUGCUCUAGCCCAAAUGUCCUGCUUCCCACAUCCCAAACUCAUUGUUCUUGCAUAUUUCCACAUCACUACUUUGACCAUGCCCAUCAAGGUAGAGGAUCACAACACUCUUUCCUGUCAAGCUAAGUGCUCUCCACCCUUUCAGAACUGUCUACGCAGCCUUUCCAAGCCUUUUCUUGGCUUUCUGUGACACUAUUCUCUCAUAGAAUUUUUGGUGUUUAACAUACAUUAUCUUAUACAUCAGGUAUGUCAAAAAGUUCAUGGAAAAUGGAACUAAAAAAUAAAGAACAUUUUCCACAAAUUGUCUGAAGACCCUCCUAGUUUUUAUAGGUAAGCAUCAAACUCAGGAACUUAAACUCAGCGUAGCACAGAAACUUGAACAGGAGUGUUA